GGAGGAAAGCAGGGGAUCGCAAGACCUUGCGCUUUUGGAGUGGCCGAUGCCUGAUUAGCUAGUUGGUAGGGUAAUGGCCUACCAAGGCGACGAUCAGUAGUUGGUCUGAGAGGACGACCAGCCACACUGGGACUGAGACACGGCCCAGACUCCUACGGGAGGCAGCAGUGGGGAAUUUUGGACAAUGGGCGAAAGCCUGAUCCAGCAACGCCGCGUGAGUGAAGAAGGCCUUCGGGUUGUAAAGCUCUUUCAGUCGAGAAGAAAAGGUUGUGACUAAUAAUCACAACUCAUGACGGUAUCGACAGAAGAAGCACCGGCUAACUACGUGCCAGCAGCCGCGGUAAUACGUAGGGUGCGAGCGUUAAUCGGAAUUACUGGGCGUAAAGGGUGCGCAGGCGGCUUUGUAAGUCAGAUGUGAAAGCCCCGGGCUUAACCUGGGAAU
rnacentral:rRNA from 1 species